GUAUUCUACAUAUCACGCUUAAUGUUGAUAAGGUCAUAACCUUAUAUCUUGUUUCUUCGUAGCACAGGUCCCAUUUACAUGUAUGCUGACAAUGAGUUGGAUAUUUAUGUUUAUGUUAUUGCAUCUCUGUGAUGAGGCUGUAGCAAACUGUAGAAAUGAUUUCAUGAGUGCACUUGGGUCUUGUUACCAUUUCGGAAAUGUACCAUUAGGAUUUACACAGGCGGAGCAUUAUUGUCGCCAAUAUGAAGGGCAUCUUGUUCACAUCGAUUCAGCGCAGGAGGAUAGUUUCCUCAAGACCUACGCCAGUGGGCAUCCAGCUCAAUUUUGGUGGAUUGGAUUAACAGAUCUGAUGGCAGAGAACCACUUCCUGUGGAUUGACGAUAAUACUGAAGCGAUAUUUACAGACUGGGGCCAGGACCAACCAAACGGCGGCACCGAGGACUGCAUCGUUCUUGAUCACAAAGACGGAUAUAGGUGGCACGAUUAUCAUUGCGAAACCCAGAUGUUCCCACUUUGUGAAUCGAAACCAUCUCAGAUUCAAAUUGUGGGAUGAAUAUCGACCUCCUUCCUGACAAUCGUAUAUCCACAAAUGCAUGUCUGAGAAUCUUUACAAGUGAAUUCGGCAAAUCCUGAUGCAACCUGAGCUUACCAAGUUUACUGACAGUUUGGACUCUUUGUGGAUGAUAAUAUGGACAAUAUAUUGUGUUCGUGUUGUGUUGUGAUUGACAUUUUUUAACAGAUAAGAUUUUUUAAUCCAGACUUAACAGGCGAUUUUUUUUCAAAGAAUAAAUACAAUACUUUUUUAUUGAUGUGCAUGAAUUUGAGUACAAAAUAUCAACAAUGUGUAUCUUGUGUUGUUUUUCCAAUCAGUCUGUCAUCCAUUGGUAAUAUAUUAAGUAUGAGAAGGGAAUAUUUUAUUUUUACAUUUGUGUUGUUUCUGCACACCAUGUCAGAUACAUGAAAAUAUAUUUUAUGCCCCCAACGGGCGGCAUAUAGUUUUCGCACUGUCAGUCUGUCUGUCCUCCGUAACACUUUUCGUGUUCACUCUCUAAUUCAAGUAGUUCUAAUCCGAUCUCCAAACUUGGUCAGAAGUUGCAUCCGGAUAAUGUCUAGGUCAAGACAAACAUGGGUCAUGCUGGGCCCAAAACUAUGUCAUAGGGUCACUUAGUGCGUUUCAAACAUUCAGCAUGGUGUCCGCUCUCUAAUUCAAGUAGUUUUCAUCCGAUCUUUCCCAAACUCUGUCAGAAGUUGUAUCUACAUAAUGUCUUCGCCAAGUGUGAACAUGGGGCAUGCCGGGCAAAAAACUAGUUCACUGGGUCACUAAGUGCGUUUUAAAAAUUCAGCUUGGUGUCCGCUCUCUAAUUCAAGUAGUUUUCAUCUGAUCUUCACCAAACUUGUUCACAAGUUUUAUCUAGAUGGUCUCUAGGCCAAGUUUGAACAUGCAUGCAAAGAAUUGGCAGAAAAAAAACAUCUACAAACUGCAGCAGAUGAAAUAUGUAACAAACAAAAUAUAAAUAUAAAUAUUGAACACCUGUUAUGUAGCAAACUAAUAGUUAAAUAAAAUAAAGGCGAUGUAUAUCUCAAAAACAUUUGCAAACUUAUGCUUUUAUGUAGUGACAAAGUUACAGUUGGGGGCAUCCGUGUCGUGUGGACACAUUUGUUUGACUGAUGAUAAACAACUCAUUCAUAGUGAUCUAACUAUAAAAUGUUAUUUACACGAUAAGAAAUACAUUGUAUUGUAUGCCUGCUAAUAUUGUGGUCUUAAAAUAAUAUCACUUAUACUGUUGUAGUUCAUUUAAACAUCAAGAUAUGUGAUGUUAACGUAUG